rnacentral:misc_RNA from 1 species
GAUGAAGAACGUAGCGAAAUGCGAUACGUAAUGUGAAUUGCAGAAUUCAGUGAAUCAUCGAAUCUUUGAACGCAUAUUGCGCUCUCUGGUAUUCCGGAGAGCAUGCUUGUUUGAGUAUCAGUAAACACCUCAACUCCCUUUUCUUUUUUGAAAUGGGAGCUGGACUUGAGUGAUCCCAACACUUUUCUCACUGGAAAGUGGCGGGUCACUUGAAAUGCAGGUGCAGCUGGACUUUUCUCUGAGCUAUAAGCAUAUCUAUUUAGUCUGCCUAAAAAACAGAUUAUUACCUUUGCUGCAGCUAACAUAAAGGAGAUGAGUUGUUGUGCUGACUGAUGCAGGAUUCACAGAGACAGCUUUGCGGCUGACUUUGUAAACUCGAUCUCAAAUCAAGUAAGACUACCCGCUGAACUUAAGCAUAUCAAUAAGCGGAGGA